rnacentral:lncRNA from 1 species
UUUUUAUUUAAUACCAAUGAGUUUCGCACCUUAUGGCAAUGAGAAAAGAUCUCAAAUGUCAUUGUCAUUUAUGGAAUUUAUCACUUUAUUUAGGGCACCGAUCCACCUUUGAGAGUUAGAACUUUCCAUUGCUUGAUGAAAUCUGAUUAGAUCAUCAUCCAUCAUUCCAAUGUUAACCUUAUGUCCCUGGAUAAAUACAAUAUAAUCAUCUGGUAUUGUAUUUCCAUUUUCUCUCGUGGANNNNNNNNNNNNNNNNNNNNNNCUCCUGAAUGACAUAUGUUCUUGAGGUGUAAGAGUUUGUUCAUCUGGAACAAUUUCUUGUAUGGAGAGUUAAACACCUGUGGGAAUAUCAAUAUAUUCCUCCAUAACCAUAUCUCCCCCUUCUUCUCAUUUGUCUUAUAAGGUCUUGCUUUAGCUGGACAUUAAGGGCAUAUGCUGCAGUUUUAAUAAAAUAAAUUAUUGGACGUUGUUCACCUGAAUUGUUAAAUCUACCAUAGUAUUUACCACCACGGUUAAACUUAACUCUUUUGAUUCUUUAGUCGAGUUGAUUCACAACUCCAGCCCGAAUUAAAAUUGAACAUGUCCAAUGACUUUCUUGUUUCAUGAAUGAGACAAAUGAUGCCAUAUACAAAAUCGUCUUUGAACAUUAUAAAUAUUG